GACGUAGGGGGCCAGCGUUGUUCGGAAUUACUGGGUGUAAAGGGUUCGUAGGCGGUGUAGCAAGUCGGGAGUGAAAUCUCUGGGCUUAACCCAGAGGCUGCUUCCGAAACUGCUGUGCUUGAGUGUGGGAGAGGCGCGUGGAAUUGCAGGUGUAGCGGUGAAAUGCGUAGAUAUCUGCAGGAACACCCGUGGCGAAAGCGGCGCGCUGGACCACUACUGACGCUGAGGCUCGAAAGCAUGGGGAGCAAACAGG
rnacentral:rRNA from 1 species